rnacentral:rRNA from 1 species
AUGACUUGCCGGCGUAUGCGCUAUUCGUUGGCUGGUGUGUGCAUGGAAGGUUCCCGUGCCCCACAUGCAAGGGAGCUCUUGAGUUUCGUUGGCUUCAGGCUGGUCGCAAGUUUUUGUUGCUUCGACAUGCAUAGACAGUUCCUGGAUCCUCGCCAUAAGUUCAGGAAAGACAAGAAGAACUUCAUCAGAGGUAGAGUUGUCAAAAACUCUGCACCACCUGCGUUGACAGGCCAACAGACCCUGGAUCAGUUAAACGCGAGCCAGGGUCCCAUUGAUCCAGCGCUGGUGAUGAUAUCUGGUGGCGGGAGGUCCCAUGGCUCCAUAGCCAUUGGAGAUGGACUUAUCCGUUGUCCUAGCACUCUCCCGGAGAUCAAGGCGCGCCAGUCGAGCUCUGCUCCUGAGAUAAGGCCUCAUGAACGGCCAGUCCAACUCGCCAUCAAGGCUGCUAUACAGAGUGAGAGAGAUAGAACGGAGAAACUUCUGGCGGAGGCGGCGGAGAGGUAG